rnacentral:rRNA from 1 species
AACGAACGCUGGCGGCAGGCCUAACACAUGCAAGUCGAACGCUCCGCAAGGGGAGUGGCGCACGGGUGAGUAACACGUGGGAACCUACCUUCUGGUACGGAACAACCAAGGGAAACUUUGGUCUAAAACCGUAUACGACCUCCGGGUGAAGAUUGAUCGCCGGAAGAGGGGCCCGCGUCCGAUUAGGUAGUUGGUGAGGUAACGGCUCACCAAGCCUACGAUCGGUAGCUGGUCUGAGAGGAUGACCAGCCACACUGGGACUGAGACACGGCCCAGACUCCUACGGGAGGCAGCAGUGGGGAAUAUUGGACAAUGGGCGCAAGCCUGAUCCAGCAAUGCCGCGUGAGCGAAGAAGGCCUUAGGGUUGUAAAGCUC